rnacentral:tRNA from 2 species
GUGUACUUAGCUCAAUGGUUAGAGCAUCACUCAUGAAUGCUGAGGUCGAGGGUUUGAGUCCCACAGUACACA